GCGGUUAUGGCGGAAUUGGCAGACGCGCUAGCUUCAGGCGCUAGUGGUGGCAACACCUUGGAGGUUCAAGUCCUCUUGACCGCACCA
rnacentral:tRNA from 6 species